GACGAACGCUGGCGGCGUGCUUGACACAUGCAAGUCGAACGGAAAGGCCUGCUUUCCCUUGUGGAUUGCGGGUACUCGAGUGGCGAACGGGUGAGUAACACGUGAGUGAUCUGCCCCCAACUUGGGUAUAAGCCUGGGAAACUGGGUCUAAUUCCCGAUAGGACUGCAGGGUGGUGCCUGUGGUGGAAAACGAUUUUCUAGUUGUUGGGGAUGAGCUCGCGGCCUAUCAGCUUGUUGGUGGGGUAAUGGCCUACCAAGGCGGCGACGGGUAGCCGGCCUGAGAGGGUGGACGGCCACAUUGGGGCUGAGAAACGGCCCAGACUCCUACGGGAGGCAGAAGUGGGGAAUAUUGCACAAUGGGCGGAAGCCUGAUGCAGCGACGCCGCGUGGGGGAUGACGGCCUUCGGGUUGUAAACUCCUUUCGACCGCGAGGAAGCCACCUGGUUGGAAGGGUGGUGACGGUAGUGGUAGAAGAAGCACCGGCUAACUACGUG
rnacentral:rRNA from 1 species